UUCAGAGGCUCAGAUCUGGAACAAAGAUGGGAUCGAUCGUUGAAAAGAAGCACCGCCAUGAAUGGCUGCAAUUGGAUGCUUCCCGAUCCAAAGAAUACCACGCCACCGGCGGCGAGAAUUCUUCGACGGCGAUCGAUCCAUCCCGAUUCACAAUCCAAAACCAAUGUCAUCAUUGCCUCUUGAGAGAGAAAAGGAGGAGCAAAGAAGAAAGAAGAAAGGAAAAAA
rnacentral:lncRNA from 1 species